rnacentral:rRNA from 1 species
UACGAAGGGUGCAAGCGUUGUUCGGAAUUACUGGGUGUAAAGGGUUUGUAGGCUGGAAUUUAAGUCAAAUGUGAAAUCCUUGGGCUUAACCUGAGACGUGCAUUUGAAACUGGAUUUCUUGAGUGUCGGAGAGGGUAGUGGAAUUGUUGGUGUAGGAGUGACAUCCGUAGAGAUCAGCAGGAACAUCAGAGGCGAAGGCGACUGCCUGGCCGACAACUGACGCUGAAAAACGAAAGCGUGGGGAGCAAACAGGAUUAGAUACCCUGGUAGUCCACGCCGUAAACGAUGAUAACUAGGUGUUGGGAGAAUUGACCCUUUCAGUACCGAAGCUCACGCGAUAAGUUAUCCACCUGGGGAGUACGGUCGCAAGACUA